GAUGAACGCUGGCGGCGUGCCUAAUACAUGCAAGUCGAGCGAACGGACGAGAAGCUUGCUUCUCUGAUGUUAGCGGCGGACGGGUGAGUAACACGUGGAUAACCUACCUAUAAGACUGGGAUAACUUCGGGAAACCGGAGCUAAUACCGGAUGAUAUUUUGAACCGCAUGGUUCAAAAGUGAAAGACGGUCUUGCUGUCACUUAUAGAUGGAUCCGCGCUGCAUUAGCUAGUUGGUAAGGUAACGGCUUACCAAGGCAACGAUGCAUAGCCGACCUGAGAGGGUUAUCGGCCACACUGGAACUGAGACACGGUCCAGACUCCUACGGGAGGCAGCAGUAGGGAAUCUUCCGCAAUGGGCGAAAGCCUGACGGAGCAACGCCGCGUGAGUGAUGAAGGUCUUCGGAUCGUAAAACUCUGUUAUUAGGGAAGAACAUAUGUGUAAGUAACUGUGCACAUCUUGACGGUACCUAAUCAGAAAGCCACGGCUAACUACGUG
rnacentral:rRNA from 1 species